ensembl:lncRNA
CUGAGUCCUUUACAAAAGCGAAAGUUAGACGCUUGGCUGUAUACAUGUGCCAAACAGCUGUACAUUCCACAGCUUGUCUCGCAAGUCUGCAUUUGGGGGGGAGAACAAUGUUAGCGCUGGAAAAAAUGAACAAAAGAAAGGAGAGGUGAGAGGAGGCCCCAUGCAAUGUUGAAACGCGGGAUAUAUCUGAAUUCUUCGUGCCUGAUGUUUUUCUCUUCAGUGAUGCAGAUGCAUUAACAUGAGCAUGCAUUCUGAAUUAAAAUGACUGAAGUGCUAGAGUGACUUGUAGUUACUACAUUUCUUGUAUCAGGGAUGGAUUAAAAUGUUGUGCAGUCACUUGAGGGUUUUUCCACAACCGUUCUUCUCAGAAAUCUGCUUGCAGCCAUCGAUAGCUUCCUUUAUCUGCCCGUUCAGGUACUUCAUAUGUUUUCUGCCCCUAGCCAGUUCAGGUACUUCAUAUGUUUUCCACCCCUAGCCAGUUCAGGUACUUCAUAUGUUUUCCGCCCCUAGCCAGUUCAGGUACUUCAUAUGAUUUCUGCCCCUAGCCAGUUCAGGUACUUCAUAUGAUUUCUGCCCCUAGCCAGUUCAGGUACUUCAUAUGAUUUCCGCCCCUAGCCAGUUCAGGUACUUCAUAUGAUUUCUGCCUCUAGCCAGUUCAGGUACUUCAUGUUUUCCACCGCUAGCCAGUUCAGGUACUUCAUAUGAUUUCUGCCCCUAGCCAGUUCAGGUACUUCAUAUGAUUUCUGCCUCUAGCCAGUUCAGGUACUUCAUGUUUUCCACCGCUAGCCAGUUCAGGUACUUCAUAUGAUUUCUGCCCCUAGCCAGUUCAG